GGCCCCUUAGUUCAACUGGAUAGAAUGUCAGAUUCCGGUUCUGAAGGUUGCAGGUUCGAAUCCUGCAGGGGUCACUA
rnacentral:tRNA from 1 species